GUUUCCAUUAUAUUAAAAUCUCAUAAAUUCAAAUCCAUUAUUGUUUCUCUCUCCUGCUCGAUUUCUCUCUCCCCUUCUCGAUACAAACAACAACACCACGACAACCACCAUCGAUUGAUUUAUUACCUCCGAUCGAUAACCAUCUCCUGCUCGAUAUCUACUACCUCUGAUCAACAACCAUACUAGAACGAUGAUGAUGACGAUGGUAGACGAUGCAGUCGCCGGAGAUGAAAAUGAAGGUGGAGGUGGUUGAUGGUUAACGACGGUGAUGGCGAUGUCCAUGAAGGCAGUUGCAGGUGGUGCACAACUAGUUCGCUAACAACAGAUCCAUACAUCAUCAAUACAACCAGUUCGUCAACAACAGAUCCAUUCAUCAAUACAACCAUGGUGUACAACGGCACCCACGACGGCCGGCCAUGGUGGUGCACGGCAGCAGCCGUGGUGGUAUUCGGAAGAAGAUGAUUAUUGAUCAUAAUUUUGUGUUUUAUUGUAUGAAUCGAUCUUCACUCGAGUUGGUAAUUUGAAGGAAUCAGUGAAUCAUCCGAAAUGUGGGCAAUUUGAAGGAAUAAUACCGGAUAGGUUGCUGUAAAAAAGUAUGCCGGGAAGAUUGAUGUGAAGAAGUAUGUUGUCAAGAUUUUGUACUCCCAUGCUAACACGCUCCGCGAUGAAGACUAUGUUUUUGUUUUUCCGAUAUGUGGCUAUUUGUUUGUUUCGUUGGGUUAUUUUUUUUAUGUAAACUAGAUGUUUAGUUGGUUUGUAUACCUUAUAAUAUGUUUUCGGAUUUGUUUUUGGGACA